GGGGCCGUGGCUCAGUGGCAGAGCAUCUGCUCUACGUGCAGAAGGUCCCAGGUUCAAUCCCCGGCGUCUCCA